CCGAGACACAGAAACCGGCUGGCAAUCAUUAACUAAUGCUUACUCCCAGGGCGAAAAUGCGGGUUUUAAAGACCCGAGCUCUGUUUUUGUAAAACAAGCAGCCCUGCAAGAGAAGUAUGGAUAAGAAGAUUUCUGCCCAGAUUCUCCAGAUAAUUGUGUCAACCUCCUGCUUGGUUGAUUCUGGAAACAGUGUACCAAGUAGCAACUUCAGAGUCUCCUCUUGCUCUUUUUUUUUUUUUUUUUUAAGUUUUAUGUUUUAAGUAGGAUCCACUCACAACCCCAGGAUCAUCCUUCUGGCUCUUUUUGGGAAGUACAGACACCCUUUCCUUGAGCUCUUCCAUGGUUAUCAACAAAUCUCUACUGUCUGGAGAAAGUUCUGCUCACCACCAAUGCCCAUUCAGGAUUCUUGGCUAUAAGCCCCUUGGUCUACAGUGUGUUUGCUCUGAUCAUGCUAAGCCUGAGGUGUUUUGCAAACAUUUUAACCCCGUCAUGUCCAUGUAAGGGUUUACAAUAUAUUCAAUUUAAACAAGAGAGAUAAUUUUUAAAAACUGGAAGCCAGUGAAAAAUAAUGAACGUUGCCCUUCUGUAUGGAUUGAGUUAUUAGAGAAGUUCAAAAGGACAAAGGGUAAUUAUGUAAUAUAGAGAAGCUGCCUUGCUUCUUUGGUCAAUAAUCCACAAGAGAUAGGACAAGCAGUAGACAGAAACGAAAGGGUUCAGUGUCAUGGCUCAGAGGCUUGCAUCAAGAAAGAGCCUACCAGCCUCUGUCAGGACCAUGGCAGGAGUUUGAAGACACAGAGGCCAGAGCAAUGGCAUGCCUGCUCCAGGCCAUGGAUGUUUCCUCUGCACAAGGCCCCCUUUGAAUGUGCCUGACUUCAAAGUGUGGCAGGCUGGUGGAUACGAAGUUAAGGAGAUUCUUAACAAUAUUUGCAGAUACUCUCUCUUUCAAUGUGUUUUCAAUGCAGAAAAAAAAAAAAAAAAAACCUCCCACAAAAUUGUUGGGGGAAAUACACCCGAGAGAACAUAUAUCAGUGAAGAGAAGGAGCGUGUACUUGACUUUAAAACACUCUUAUUUGAUGGACAUCAAUCAGAAGGCUGCCAGCGGAAACCCCUCCUAGGCAACUGGGAUGACAAACAGUGCGCUUAAGAAAACCUUUCAGGACCUGACCUGCUUCUAUGUGGAGGAGCUUCUGAACAUGAAGAGUCUUGCAACUGCCUGGCAGCUGCUUUGUUAUUGGCCUACAAAUGUGACAUGUAAGCUCAGAUCUGUAAACAUAGGGAUUGCUUUUAAAAUUCUGAGGGCAUAAACAAAUGGCAUGGUUAGAACCAAGACCUCUAUCCGUCUGCGAUAUUUUGGACACAAGAAGAGAGUGGCUUCCUUGGAAGUUGGAGCUGUGCAGAGCCGGAGCUCAAAGCAGCUUAGAAGUGCACAGGGAAAGGGUGCUUGGGUGGCUCAGCCGAUUUAACGUCUGACUUUUGAUUUUGGCUCAGGUCAUGAUCUGAGAAUCCUGGGAUCGAGCCCCAUGUUGGGCUCCGGCGGGAGGCUGCUUAUCUCCCUCUGCCUCUGGCCCUCCCCCUGCUUGCACUUGCUUUUUCUCUCUCUCAAACAAAUAAAUAAAUCUUAAAAUUAAAAACUAAAAAAAGAGGCGCACAAGAAAACAGGUUCCAUCUUAAGGGCUGUUUGCUUUCCUUUCCUAUAACUUUUUCUAGUCCAGCAAAAGUCCAAGACCUUUUAGCCAAACCUGUUGGCUGAUGUAGAAAAAUGUUCAAUGAGAAUGACCAGGCAGCUGGCCCAGGCACCAACUCUGAAUUCACUAGAAUUGACUAUUGCUAUAACUUACAUCCAUACGUCCACAUCAUUACUAAAUAAACCUUAGAAGCUAGCUGUGAUACAUCAGCUGAGGAUGGAAAAUGACAUUUUAACAUAGGAUAUAUUUCUUUAAAGUUUUUCAUUUUUAUUUAUUUUGGGGGGCAGAUGGGCAGAGGAAGAGGGUGAGAGAGAUACUUAAGCAAGUUCCACGUCCAGUGCAGAGUCCAACGUGGGGCUCAAUCUCACGAUCCUGAGAUCAUGACCCGAGCCCAAAUCAAGAGUCAGAUGCUUAACUGACUGAGCCACCCAGGGGCUCCGAAAGUUCUUUAUUUAUUUAAGUACUCUACACCCCACAUGGCGCUCGAACUCAUGACCCCGAGAUUAAGAGUGGCAUGGUCUGACUGAGCAGCCAGCUGCCCCAUAGUAUGUACUUUAAAAAAACAAAACAAAACAAAAAAACAAAAAAAACUUUUAUUUUGCAAUAAUUUUAGACUUACAGAAAAGUAAAAAUAGUGCAGAGGAUUUUCAUAUAUCCCUCACCCACCUUCCCCUAAUGUUUACAUCUCAUAAAAUUAUAGUACAAUGAUCAAAACCAAGAAAUUAAUGCUAUUAACUAAACUAUGGGUUUAUGUGGAGUUUGCCAGUUUUUUCACUAAUACCCCAUUCUCAGGAUCCACAUCGCAUUUAACUAUUUCUCCUUCUUUUCCUCCAAUCUGUCCAAGUCUUUGGUCUUUCCUUGUUGUUCGUGAUUUUGUGACCAUUAAAAAAAAUACCAGUGA